ACAAGAUCGGUGGGGGCGGAGGUGGAAGCGGUGUGCUGUGGAAUUAGUGGAGGUGGCGAGCGAGAGAGGAGCAGGAAGAGAAGCCCGCAAAAAACUCCUUAUCCAGGAUUUGUUAAGGGACGAAAAGGUUUGCAGGACUUCAAUUUCAACUUUUUGCAUCCCUGUUAUGGAGUGUUGGUGCCAGUGGUGGUGUGGUGGUGUCUGUACCCCGCCUUGACCCCUGCAGGAAGCGUGAAGGUCGAGGUUAGGAAACGAAGCUGAGUGAGGCAGAGAAUGAGGCUUCGGGUAGUUCAGGCAAUAGCCUUCCCUCCACCACCAGUAACCGCCAGGCUGGGAGGCGCCGCGUGUGUGCGAGUACCACCGCCUCAGCAGAGGCUGUGCUGCAGUGGAUCUCGUUGCAUCAAGAUGAAAUUUGAGGCACUGAUUGCAAGUAAUGUAUUUUUUGUUUUAGUACAAUUUUCUCACUGAAAGAAUCGAGCAAAUUUACUUAACACUUACCAGAAGUAGUGAUAACAGUUACAUUUCUUGUAUGGACGUUGAUGGCGAGAACAUCCGAUGGAAGUUGUAAUGUUUUGUUUGCAUUGACAAACUGUAGCUUUUGUCACGGAACUGUUGUUGGGCCUAGUAAUGGCUAACGACUCAUGACUUGCUGCACAUAAGACGGGUUCACACGUGCCUAAGCGGGUAGAGAAGCCAGCCACAAAACAAAACAGACAUGUUUGUCUUGUCCAGUGAGGCAGUGACUCCAGCCGCUAGCAGCUUUGUUUACACUAUGACGUCACAGAAGGUUUAAACAUGUUGGUGUCCAGAGGCAAAGAGGAAGAUGUUGGACAGUUAGAGCUAGUGAGGGAUAAAUGGCAUGUCUGGGAGCCGAAAAAAUGAGUAGUACAGCAAAAAAAGCCUACGUAGAACUACAUUCGAUGAAAUUGCUGCCCCUGUCACUGCCACUCCGAUGAUUUGUUUCCGUCACUGCGUGGUGUUGUUGGAGGUGAGGAUUGAAUACUUGUGAUGAUUUAAUUUAAUCGCAAUCGUGCAUAGUCUUUUGUUAAGAUGAACACACUUCUUAUAAGAAAUGUUGGCCAACCAGCCGAUACUUCCCAACCGUUAUGUGUGAACGCGUUCCGGUUAGCAGGAUCUUGGCGAUACCUCAAGCGGCUAGCAUUUUCAGCCGCAUAUUGAAUCUGGCUGGUUGGCGAAAAGUGGAUGCAAACAAACAGUUACCCAAUAAAAUGUCUUCCUCCGGUGACGACCAAAUUAAAUCAUUACAAGUAUUCAAUCCUCCCCUGCGACAACACCCUGCAGUGAGGGAAGCAGUCAUCGGAGAGUGGCAGCUGUCUCAUCGAACGCUUAUUUGCUUUUUUUUUUUUUUUUUUUCCUGUAGAAAUUACUUUUAAAGUCCCAGAUAUACCGUUUUUUCCUCACCAACUCCAAAAAUCUCUACAUCGACACCAUAUUUUCAAACCUUUCUCCGUGACGUCACAACGUAAACAAAGUAGCAAGUCGACUGAACAAGAAUAAGAUGUUCUUGUUUUGCGACUGGCUUUUCCAGUCGCAAAUGACGUGAAUCUGCCUUGCUAUUCAUCAGCAUUAGGGUCAAGGCUAGCUGAAUUCGCCUAACGCUUUUUUUUUUUUUUUUUUUUUUUUGUGGUCAUGGCCUUUUAAUACAGACACUGAAGAGAAGCCCAAACGGGCCCAAGAGGCUAGCUAAGAAGCUAAACAAGCACUGCAGUGAUAUCAGAAUCAAGACAAAUAAUCUUAUAAGUUCAAGAUUAUAUUCAAAUGUUCGUAACUAUAUUUUUAUCUAAGCAAGUUUGAAAUUCACUUGCAGUAAAAAAAAAAAAAAAAAAAAUUAGACAAUCUACCUUACAAAAAUGUUUAUAUGUACAGAAUUACAGGCAAUCCUCGCAUCUGAUUUGAAUGAGCACUACAUUGCUACAUAGCUUGUGCACAAGUUUGGAACACCUUGCUAUAGUGAGUCUGUCCAAGCAAGAGCUUUCAGCAUGUCUAGGUAACCCUGUUUUGAUAAGUGUCAUCACUGGGAAUUACGUGUUAGAUGAUGUAGUGGUUAUGAAUGGAUCAGCAAAUGCUGGAUGCUUUAGAUAUGGAAGAGACUUAAUUUGGAGUGAGGGUUAGCAGUAUGAAAAGUAAGGUAAUGUUUAUUAAUAGGUCAGAGGACGAAAGUAGUAUGAAGAACUGAAGUGAAUGAACUGAAUCCUGCCAAAGGGAUGUGCAUGAGUACGAAUGGGUGUGAAAAAGAAAAUUAUGGAAAAAUGAGCUUGGUGAAACAUUGUGGGCUGAUAUGGAAAUGCUUCAGUUUAUUUCUGAAAGUUGAGUAACUUGCAAAAUUAAUUUCACCAUGCUAGACCUGUAAGCUAAAGUCCAUUACACCUCUUGAGCAGCAACAUAACACUCGCAACACCAUUACCACUGGAAAAUUUUAAGCUUAUUAAGCAUUUCCUGUGAUUAAUUGUUCUGAUGUCUGGCAUCCUUUCAGUUUGAGCUUCAUCAUCUUGAGGAGUUCAAGCGCUUAAUUGGUCAUGAUGCUACAAGUGUCUCGGGAUCAUUGUUGAACCAUGCUUUGGAUCAAUGACUCCUGUAAGAGAGAGAGAGAGAGAGAGAGAGAGAGAGAGAGAGAGAGAGAGAGAGAGA
rnacentral:lncRNA from 1 species